AGUCGGGAAUUUUGCCCAAUGAGCGAAAGCUUGAGGCAGCAACUCCGCGUGAGGGAUGAAGGCUCUCGGGUCGUAAACCUCUUUUCUCAGGGAAGAUCCAAGACGGUACCUGAGGAAUAAGCCACGGCUAACUACGUGCCAGCAGCCGCGGUAAUACGUAGGUGGCAAGCGUUGUCCGGAUUUACUGGGCGUAAAGAGCGCGCAGGCGGCUGGUCAAGUCCGAUGUGAAAUCUCCCGGCUUAACUGGGAAACUGCAUCGGAAACUGAUCGGCUUGAAGGUGGGAGAGGGUAGUGGAAUUCCCGGUGUAGUGGUGAAAUGCGUAGAUAUCGGGAGGAACACCAGUGGCGAAGGCGACUACCUGGCCCAUUCUUGACGCUGAGGCGCGAAAGCUAGGGGAGCGAA
rnacentral:rRNA from 1 species